rnacentral:tRNA from 1 species
GCCGAUGUAGCUCAGUGGCAGAGCGUUUCCUUGGUAAGGAAGAGGUCAUGGGUUCAAUUCCCAUCAUUGGCU